UACGUAGGGUGCAAGCGUUGUCCGGAAUUAUUGGGCGUAAAGAGCUCGUAGGCGGUCUGUUGCGUCGGCUGUGAAAACCCGAGGCUCAACCUCGGGCCUGCAGUGGGUACGGGCAGACUAGAGUGCGGUAGGGGAGAUUGGAAUUCCUGGUGUAGCGGUGGAAUGCGUAGAUAUCAGGAGGAACACCCAUGGCGAAGGCAGCAAACUGGUCCGUAUCUGACGCUGAGGCGCGAAAGCGUGGGUAGCAAACAGG
rnacentral:rRNA from 1 species